rnacentral:rRNA from 1 species
UAGGGAAUAUUGCACAAUGGAGGAAACUCUGAUGCAGCCAUGCCGCGUGUGUGAAGAAGGCCUUCGGGUUGUAAAGCACUUUCGGAGGGGAGGAAAAAAUGACGUUACCCUCAGAAGAAGCACCGGCUAACUCCGUGCCAGCAGCCGCGGUAAUACGGAGGGUGCAAGCGUUAAUCGGAAUAACUGGGCGUAAAGGGCAUGCAGGCGGUUCAUCAAGUAGGAUGUGAAAUCCCCGGGCUCAACCUGGGAACAGCAUACUAAACUGGUGGACUAGAGUAUUGCAGGGGGAGACGGAAUUCCAGGUGUAGCGGUGGAAUGCGUAGAUAUCUGGAAGAACACCAAAGGCGAAGGCAGUCUCCUGGGCAAAUACUGACGCUCAUAUGCGAAAGCGUGGGUAGCAAACAGGAUUAGAUACCCUGGUAGU